rnacentral:tRNA from 1 species
AGAAUUUUAUGAAUUGAUACUGCCGGAUUUUUAAUCCGGGUGUCGCAGGUUCAAGUCCUGCACGGCCUA